GCCCCUGCUGUUCUGUUCUUCCUUCCCCGUGGGGAAGAUCCCAGAGCUCCUGCUGGAGCGGCAGAAGCUCCCAGGGCAAGUACCAGCAGAUUCUCUCUUUGCAGGCUCUGCUCCACUUCUUCAGCUCCCAGCAGAUGCAUGUCCGUACGAGAGCCCUGCAUGGGGUUUUAAUGAUGAUCACGAGUUUUAUGGAAAAAGACUGGGACAGCACUGAAAAUUACAAGCCACUCAUCGAGGUGUACUUCCCAAUCCUGGGAAAGCUGCUGGGUCACCUCUGCCUUUUCAAUCGUGGCUUCGAUAGCACCAGAAUUCCAACUUCAGAAGCGCUUCAUUGCCUCCACGCAUUUGUCCAACAAGAAAGAA